rnacentral:lncRNA from 1 species
GUGAAUGGGUGGUUGGGGGGGGGGCAUCCUAAUCAUCUUAUCCAUGUCAGGACCCUACCGCCAGGGUCUACCACGGUAGGUGUAGAUACCCUACCGCUAGGCUGGUUGGCUUAGGUCCUUUCUCACGUCAACGACUAACUGCCAUCCGUCGUCCUCCGUCAAUCUAUCGUCACGGGCGCCGACGGUUGUGCCAGCCUACCGCAACGGCCUACAAUGGUAGGUGAAAGAGUCAAAUCCUGAUUAUUUUUUUCAAACUAGGGUCAAAUGUCGAUUUACCUCACAAAAAAGUUCAAAACACGAAAUUUAGCCAAGGAGAGGCAAGCUUCGUUUUUGGAUCCACCUUCGCCG